AACGAACGCUGGCGGCAUGCCUAACAUAUGCAAGUCGAACGAGACCUUCGGGUCUAGUGGCGCACGGGUGCGUAACGCGUGGGAACCUGCCCUUAGGUUCGGAAUAACUCCCCGAAAGGGGUGCUAAUACCGGAUAAUGUCUUCGGACCAAAGAUUUAUCGCCUUUGGAUGGGCCCGCGUUGGAUUAGCUAGUUGGUAGGGUAAAAGCCUACCAAGGCGACGAUCCAUAGCUGGUCUGAGAGGAUGAUCAGCCACACUGGGACUGAGACACGGCCCAGACUCCUACGGGAGGCAGCAGUGGGGAAUAUUGGACAAUGGGCGAAAGCCUGAUCCAGCAAUGCCGCGUGAGUGAUGAAGGCCUUAGGGUUGUAAAGCUCUUUUACCCAGGAUGAUAAUGACAGUACCGGGAGAAUAAGCUCCGGCUAACUCCGUG
rnacentral:rRNA from 1 species